rnacentral:rRNA from 1 species
UGCAGUCGAGCGCUAUUUNAUAGAGUGGCGCACGGGUGAGUAACACGUGGGUAUCUGCCCUUCUCUGCGGGACAACAGUUGGAAACGACUGCUAAUACCGCAUACGCCCUACGGGGGAAAGGUCCGCCGGAGAAGGAGGAGCCCGCGUCUGAUUAGCUUGUUGGUGGGGUAAUGGCCUACCAAGGCGACGAUCAGUAGCUGGUCUGAGAGGAUGAUCAGCCACACUGGGACUGAGACACGGCCCAGACUCCUACGGGAGGCAGCAGUGGGGAAUAUUGGACGAUGGAGGAAACUCUGAUCCAGCAAUGCCGCGUGUGUGAUGAAGGCCCUAGGGUUGUAAAGCACUUUCAUUGGUGAAGAUGAUGACGGUAACCAAAGAAGAAGCCCCGGCUAACUUCGUGCCAGCAGCCGCGGUAAUACGAAGGGGGCGAGCGUUGUUCGGAAUUACUGGGCGUAAAGGGAGCGCAGGCGGUUCAUUUAGUUAGGCGUGAAAGCCCCGGGCUCAACCUGGGAACUGCGCUUAAUACUGAUGAACUAGAAAACAGAAGAGGAUAGUGGAAUUCCCAGUGUAGUGGUGAAAUUCGUAGAUAUUGGGAAGAACACCGGUGGCGAAAGCGGCUAUCUGGUCUGAUUUUGACGCUGANGCUCGAAAGCGUGGGGAGCAAACANGAUUAGAUACCCUGGUAGUCCACGCCGUAAACGAUGAUAACUAGAUGUCGGGGGGUCGCCUCUCGGUGUCGCANCUAACGCAUUAAGUUAUCCGNCNUGGGAAGUANNNUCGCAAGAUUAAAACUCAAAG